rnacentral:rRNA from 1 species
GACGAACGCUGGCGGCGUGCUUAACACAUGCAAGUCGAACGGUAAGGCCCUUCGGGGUACACGAGUGGCGAACGGGUGAGUAACACGUGGGUGAUCUGCUCUGCACUUCGGGAUAAGCCUGGGAAACUGGGUCUAAUACCGGAUAGGACCACUGCCUGCAUGGGUGGUGGUGGAAAGCUUUUGCGGUGUGGGAUGGGCCCGCGGCCUAUCAGCUUGUUGGUGGGGUGAUGGCGUACCAAGGGGACGACGGGUAGCCGGCCUGAGAGGGUGACCGGCCACAGUGGGGCUGGGAUACGGCCCAGACUCCUACGGGAGGCAGCAGUGGGGAAUAUUGCACAAUGGGCGCAAGCCUGAUGCAGCGCCGCCGCGUGAGGGAUGACGGCCUUCGGGUUGUAAACCUCUUUCAGCACCGACGAAGCGCAAGUGACGGUAGGUGCAGAAGAAGGACCGGCCAACUACGUGCCAGCAGCCGCAGUAA